rnacentral:rRNA from 1 species
CCUACGGGUGGCAGCAGUGGGGAAUAUUGGUCAAUGGAGGCAACUCUGACCCAGCAACGCCGCGUGAAUGAUGAAGGUCUUCGGAUUGUAAAGUUCUGUGAUUAGGGAUGAACACAAUGCCGGUACCCGCAUAGCACGCCACGGCUAACUACGUGCCAGGAGGCGCGGUAAUACGUAGGUGGCAAUCGUUAUCCGGAAUGACUGGGCUUAAAGGGUGCGUAGGUGGUUUAGUAAAUUAGCGGUGUAAUUCCGGGGCUCAACCUCGGCGCUACCGCCAAAACUAUUAGACUCGAGUGCAGGAGAGGUAGGUGGAAUUACUAAAGUAGCGGUGGAAUGCGUAGAUAUUACGAGGAACAUC